rnacentral:rRNA from 1 species
GGAGUCUGGUCCGUGUCUCAGUACCAGUGUGGGGGACCUUCCUCUCAGAACCCCUACCGAUCGAUGCCCCGGUGGGCCGUUACCCCGCCAACAACCUAAUCAGACGCAUCCCCAUCCCUUAGCGAUAAAUCUUUGAUUCACUUCAGAUGUCCUCGACGAAUAACAUAGGGGAUUAAUCCGACUUUCGCCGG